UCCACUCAUUGGUUGGUGAUAAAGGGUGAGCCUCCUGGCCGCGCGGCCAAUAAAGGGCAAGAUUCAAGCGGGUUCCGCCUCUUCCGCUGGGGACUGGGUUCUUCCGUUGACACUAGGUCACGUGAGUUCCUUCCUGGGUUGGAUGCUGGGACUCCCACCCGGCCAAUGUUGGGGAGGGAACUGUUCUAACGUCUCAGAAGUUUCUGCUGCAGUAAAGAUUCAAUCACCAGCAUGCUACAGAAGAAGAAAAACAGAUGUGACCCUGGAAAGCCACAUGCAUCACAACAAGGAAUGAAGAGAGAUGCAUCACAAGAUGGGAAACCUUCCAUCAGCCUGUGAUUUUGGGGUUCUAAGUAGAACAAAGCUAACCCAUAAUGAAUAUGUAGCAAAAAUGAGAAGAGCAAAGAUUGGAGGGUUAAGCCAUCUCAGAGCAUAAUCAAGCCUAUCAUAAUUAAAAUGAUGAAGAAACAGACCCAAGACACACUAAAUAACAUGUAAUAGUGUAUUCUAGUGGCCUAUUCUGAUGCCUUUUACAAUUUAUUAUGCUUGUUAUUUUCUACAUUUUAUCACACACAAAUACAGUAGGUAAUAAUUUAAGUUUGGCAGGAGUUCCUAGUUUCUAUUUUCUUUUUCUUGGAGAAUGUUGACCUUUAUCAGCUGAAUUUAUGUAUCUCCUCAAAUAAGGUUUUUA